rnacentral:sRNA from 11 species
GUUAAAACCCGGGGGAAACCCCGGGUAAAACCCCCCGUAAAACCCGGGGGGUUAAAACCCGGGGGGGGUAAAAACGGGGGGGUUUAAAGGGGGGUUAACGGGUUACUCCGUCGUACGUACGUACGUACGUACGUACGUACGUACGUA